rnacentral:rRNA from 1 species
GACAGAGGGUGCAAACGUUGUUCGGAAUUACUGGGCGUAAAGCGUGCGCAGGCGGCUUUGCAAGACAGAUGUGAAAUCCCCGGGCUCAACCUGGGAACUGCAUUUGUGACUGCAAGGCUAGAGUACGGUAGAGGGGGAUGGAAUUCCGCGUGUAGCAGUGAAAUGCGUAGAUAUGCGGAGGAACACCGAUGGCGAAGGCAAUCCCCUGGACCUGUACUGACGCUCAUGCACGAAAGCGUGGGGGGCAAACAGG